CAGAAUGAACGUUGGCGGCGUGGAUUAGGCAUGCAAGUCGAGCGAGAAGUCUUAGUUUGACGUUUCGGCUGAUUACUAAGAUGGAAAGCGGCGCAAGGGUGAGUAACGCGUAGUUACGUACCCCGGGGUCCGGAAUAGCUGCGGGAAACUGCAGGUAAUGCCGGAUAAUGUUUUCGAACCAAAGGUGUGAUUCCGCCCUGGGAGCGGACUGCGUCCUACUAGCUUGUUGGUGGGGUAACGGCCUACCAAGGCAAUGAUGGGUAGCGGGCGUGAGAGCGUGGCCCGCCACACUGGGACUGAGACACUGCCCAGACACCUACGGGUGGCUGCAGUCGAGAAUCUUCGGCAAUGCGCGAAAGCGUGACCGAGCGACGCCGCGUGCGGGAUGAAGGCCUUCGGGUUGUAAACCGCGGUCGGAGGGGAGGAAAUCUACGGGGGCUAUCCCCCAUAGUUGACCUAUCCUCGACGAAGGACGGGCUAAGUUCGUGCCAGCAGCCGCGGUAAUACGAACCGUCCAAACGUUAUUCGGAAUCAUUGGGCUUAAAGGGUGCGUAGGCGGUGCAGUCAGUCGGGUGUGAAAUCCCUCGGCUUAACCGAGGAACUGCGCCCGAUACUGCUGUGCUUGAGGGAGACAGAGGUGAGCGGAACUGAUGGUGGAGCGGUGAAAUGCGUUGAUAUCAUCAGGAACACCAGUGGCGAAAGCGGCUCGCUGGGUCUCUUCUGACGCUGUGGCACGAAAGCUAGGGGAGCGAACGGGAUUAGAUACCCCGGUAGUCCUAGCUGUAAACGAUGAGCACUUGACUGAGGGUCCCCCCAUAGACUCUUGGUCGUAGCGAAAG
rnacentral:rRNA from 1 species